AGGCUACAAACACUGACAAACAUCCAUCCAUCCAUAUAUCUAAACUUUUGCAUUUAUUACAUUAGUAUGAUUGGUAUGAUUUCUGUGGUUUGGAAUUUCUGAACGGAUGUCAAGAUGACGUAAUCAAUAUCGUAAUGACAGUUGUCAAUGUCAUCUGAUUUAUUUAUUAUUGUAAAAAAGGGACGUAUGAUUAUGCGGUUUCGUUUAUUUUACAGAUUUAUUUACAUGUUUCCUUUUAUAAUUGAUGUAGUUAGAUAAGUACAUUAUUUUUGAAAUAAAUCGUUUAUUUUGUAGCAACCCUAAAACGCUUUAAAUUGAAGCUAGAUCGGUCAAAUUUUUGUUACAGUUGCUGUCAGAUGGCAGAAGGAAUACAAUUAGAAGAUAGUGGUGCUGUAUUCUUCAUGUAACAUUUAAUCAACUCUCAAGACUAAAGAUAGUUAAAAUAAUUUGGAAAGAAGACGAACACAUAAAUAAACAGUUUAUAUGAAAUAAUGCUAAGCAACAGUAGAAUUCUUUAAGAAUUUAUCACAGAGAUAUUAUCAUAAUAGGAAAGUGAUGUUGACCUUAAAUCUUUUGUCGUAGUCAAUCUUGCAAUUGUAAUCAUUCAUGUAAUUCAAAAAUGAAUAUAACAUCAUAAUGAAUGGAAUUUAUCUUGUGAUUUGUGACUAAUGUUUUUUUUUUACUGAAAACAUAUAGUUUUCACUUUUUUUUUCUUUGGAACACACAGAGAUAGUUGCGGAUUGCAUGUGGUCAGAAAUAAAGUUAAUUUAGAUGUUACAUAUUUAAAACAAUUUACUAGCUAAGUAAUAUUAAUUAGCCAUAAAUUGAUUCUUUUAAUUUGCAUGGUGGAGACUUCCAAUUCCUGAUUUACAAAUGUUCAGCAUCCAUAUUAUUUAGAGUCAGAUAAGAUAAGAUUAAUCAAAUGUUUAGAGUUUUUUAAGUCUGCAAAGUUUAGUAUUAGCUGCCAACUUAUAGACACAUCAUCCAAUAUUUUACAGCAACAUUAAUUUUGAUUAAAGAAAAGAUUAACAUAGAUAUUUUGAAGUGACAAAUGAAAUAGAAUUUAAAAUAAAAACGGGCUUUAUUAUCUUUUUAAAUUUAAAUGAUGUGUCAAUUUUUACAGUGAAUUUUGAAACAAAUUCGUAUUUUUGGUUUAUUUUAUGUUCGUUGUUGUUUUUAAUUACUUUUAUGGAAAAUUUCAAAACCAACCGUAACUUUAGUUCGAGGACGAAUACCGAUUCCUCUUCCUCUUCCUCUCCGAUUCCUCCGAAAUAAUGUGUUCCUAGUUAUUACGCAUUUUCAGAGAGCUAAGAAAUCGGGUAUGUUUUCAAAAAUAUCUGCAGGUCAAGUUCCAUAAUGACUUUUUUGUUUUUAAGGCAUUUCAAUGGAUGGGAAUCUCGAAAAAAUUGAAAUAAAAUGGAUUUUUAGCUCGCAUUUUUUUAAUUUGGACAGAUAGCCCAUGUUUUUUUAUUGUAAUAUGAUCGGUGUUCGUAGUGUAAUCGGUGUUUUAUUAAACGUUAAAAUGCUA